rnacentral:rRNA from 1 species
GACGAACGCUGGCGGCGUGCCUAAUACAUGCAAGUCGAGCGGACCAAAGGGAGCUUGCUCCUGGAGGUUAGCGGCGAACGGGUGAGUAACACGUGGGCAACCUGCCUGUAAGACUGGGAUAACAUCGAGAAAUCGGUGCUAAUACCGGAUAAUAAAAAGAACUGCAUGGUUCUUUUUGAAAGAUGGUUUCGGCUAUCACUUACAGAUGGGCCGCGGCGCAUUAGCUAGUUGGUGAGGUAACGGCCCACCAAGGCGACGAUGCGUAGCCGACCUGAGAGGGUGAUCGGCCACACCGGGACUGAGACACGGCCCAGACUCCUACGGGAGGCAGCAGUAGGGAAUCUUCCGCAAUGGACGAAAGUCUGACGGAGCAACGCCGCGUGAGUGAUGAAGGUUUUCGGAUCGUAAAACUCUGUUGUUAGGGAAGAACAAGUGCCGUUCGAAAGGGCGGCACCUUGACGGUACCUAACGAGAAAGCCACGGCUAACUACGUGCCAGCAGCCGCGGUAAAGUCGA